AGUGGCGAACGGGUGAGUAAUGCAUCGGAACGUGCCCAUCGAUGGGGGAUAACUGCGCGAAAGCGUUGCUAAUACCGCAUACGACCUACGGGUGAAAGCAGGGGACCGCAAGGCCUUGCGUCGAUGGAGCGGCCGAUGCCGGAUUAGCUAGUUGGUGAGGUAAAGGCUCACCAAGGCGACGAUCCGUAGCUGGUCUGAGAGGACGACCCAGCCACACUGGGACUGAGACACGGCCCAGACUCCUACGGGAGGCAGCAGUGGGGAAUCUUGGACAAUGGGCGAAAGCCUGAUCCAGCAAUGCCGCGUGUGGGAAGAAGGCCCUCGGGUUGUAAACCACUUUUGGCGGGAAAGAAAUGGUCUGUGCUAAUACCACGGAUUGAUGACGGUACCCGCAGAAUAAGCACCGGCUAACUACGUG
rnacentral:rRNA from 1 species